UCCACAGCCAUACUCUGAGGUUCCCAUGACCUUGAUCUCCAUCAAGAGUACAGAUGGGUCUGUGCCAUUCUGCUGUGCUAUUUGGUGGAUAAGACAAUCUGGAAUAUUCUCCCAAUGUGGGUAUCUACACGUUACAAAACCUCACACCCCACACUGGUAUGUGCAUUGCUGA
rnacentral:lncRNA from 1 species